rnacentral:rRNA from 1 species
AGCGAACGCUGGCGGCAGGCCUAACACAUGCAAGUCGAACGGCAGCACAGGAAGAGGUGGCUCUCACGGGUGUCGAGCGGCGGACGGGUGAGGUAGGCAUCGGAUUCUACUUUGUCGGGGGUGAUAAUGUAGGAAAAUGUACUCUAAUACAGGAUACAUCCUCCGUGGGUAGGCAGGGGUUCUUUUGACUUUUUGGUAUUGAAUGAGCCUAUGUCGGAUUAGCUAGUUGGCGGGUUAAAGGCACAACCAGGCGACAAUCCGUAUCUGGUCUGAGAGGAUGGUCAGACAGCCUGGAACAGAGAAACGGUCCAGACACUGACGGGAGGCCGCAGUGGAGAAUAUUAGACGAUGGGGGAGAGCCUGAUCCAGCAAUACCGCGUAGGUGAAGAAGGCGUUCGGGUUGUAAAGCCAUUUUGUUGGGAGAGAAAUACAGCACGUUAAUCCGCCGCUGUAAUGACGGUACCCAAAGAAUAAGCACCGGCUAACUCCGUG